AUGUUGGGUUAAGUCCCGCAACGAGCGCAACCCUUGAUCUUAGUUGCCAGCAUUCAGUUGGGCACUCUAAGGUGACUGCCGGUGACGAAACCGGAGGAAGGUGGGGAUGACGUCAAAUCAUCAUGCCCCUUAUGACCUGGGCUACACACGUGCUACAAUGGACGGUACAAAGGGCUGCAAACCCGCGAGGGGGAGCCAAUCCCAUAAAACCGUUCUCAGUUCGGAUUGCAGGCUGCAACUCGCCUGCAUGAAGCCGGAAUCGCUAGUAAUCGCGGAUCAGCAUGCCGCGGUGAAUACCGGUUCCCGGGCCUU
rnacentral:rRNA from 1 species